rnacentral:lncRNA from 1 species
CUAGUCUGGAUGGUAAUGGUGACUCUAAGGCCUGAGCCAUCAGAUCUGCUCAGAGGGGCUGGAUAAUGGCACAGCAGCUAAGAACAGCGGCUGCUCCUCCAGAAGACUUUGAUUCUCAGCACCUACACGCCAGCUCACAACCAUUUGUACCUCAAGUUGAAGGGAUCCAACACCUUCCAGGCAUGUACAUGGUAUACAGACAUACAUGCAGGCACAACACCCAUAGGCUUUAAAUAAAAAGGAAGAAAAUGUGCUUGUUUGUCUCAGUAUUGAAAUACCUGAAUUGCUGAAAUCUCAUUGCAUCUUUUACAGAUAGCAUAGAAGCCAAUGUGGAAAGCUCAGAGGUGCAUGUGGAAAGAGCCUCUGAUCAGCUACAGAGAGCUGCUUACUAUCAGAAAAAAUCUCGCAAGAAGAUGUGUAUCCUCGUGCUUGUCCUCUCAGUGAUUGUUACAGUCUUGGUAGUUGUUAUCUGGGUUGCUUCUAAGUGAAGUGUGGUUGCCUCAGAGCCUUCUCCUGCUGAGUUGUUUUCGAGGGCAAGUGUUUGAUGGAGUCUUGCCAGAACAAACUGACCACAGAAGAGAGUGUGUACCA